GAAAAACACUCGCAGGGAGUCACUGCUGCACAGAAACCACUACAAGCAACCAACGGAGCACCACACACACUUCUACGUGCCUCCAUGUGUCGCCACAUACCGCCACCUGUUCUAUCACACACGUGGCCACCAGAGCUUCAUGCACCGUCAUCGGCCACCGUUGAACACUAUCAAAAAUCACCAAAAACAUAAAAAAUCGCACGACUUGACGG
rnacentral:lncRNA from 1 species